CGGAAGCACGGUGCCGGAUAACGUCCGGCGAGGGUGACCUCAGGGAAAGUGCCACAGAAAGCAAACCGCUCCGCUUGCGGAGUAAGGGUGAAAGGGUGGGGUAAGAGCCCACCGCGGACAUGGCGACAUGGACGGCACGGCAAACCCCACCGGGAGCAAGACCGAAUAGGGAUGACGCGGACGCGCAAGCGCCCAGCCUGUUUCCGGGCCAGUCAUCCGGGUGGGUUGCAAGAGGCUGCGUGCAAACGUAGUCCCAGAUGAAUGGCUGCCACGUUCCGUUGCCUUCGGGUGACGGGG
rnacentral:misc_RNA from 1 species